GCAUGUAUUCAAAGUUAGGUCGUAAUUGCAUGUAUUUAUAGUCGGGUCGCAGUUGCAAGUAUUCAUAGUCGGGUCGCAAUUGCAAGUAUUCAUAGUCGGGUGCAUGUAUUCGAAGUCAGGUCACAAUUGCAAGUAUUCAUAGUCGGGUCGCAAUUGUAAGUAUUCAUAGUCGGGUCGCAAUUGCAAGUAUUCAUAGUCGGAUGACAACUGCAUGUAUUCGAAGUUAGGUCGUAAUUGCAAGUAUUUAUAGUCGGGUCACAGUUGCAAGUAUUCAUAGUCAGAUCGCAACUGCAUGUAUUUGAAGUUAGGUCGUAAUUGCAAGUAUUUAUAGUCGGGUCGCAAUUGCAAGUAUUCAUAGUCGGGUCGCAACUGCAUGUAUUUGAAGUUAGGUCGUAAUUGCAAGUAUUUAUAGUCGGGUCGCAAUUGCAAGUAUUCAUAGUCGUGUCGCAAUUGCAAGUAUUCAUAGUCGGGUCGCAACUGCAUGUAUUCGAAGUUAGG
rnacentral:lncRNA from 1 species